rnacentral:rRNA from 1 species
UAUGUGAUCGUCUCUUGCAUAUCAAUAAGCGGAGGAAAAGAAACUAACAAGGAUUCCCCUAGUAACGGCGAGUGAAGCGGGAAGAGCUCAAAUUUGAAAUCUUAAAGGGUUUCCCUUUACGAAUUGUAGUUUAAAGAAGUGUUUUCUGUUGAGGUUUUGGUAAAAGUUCUUUGGAAUAGGACAUCAUAGAGGGUGAGAAUCCCGUAUUUGACCUUUACUUUCAACUUUGUGAUACACUUUCAAAGAGUCGGAUUGUUUGGGAAUGCAGUCCAAAAUGGGUGGUAAAUUUCAUCUAAAGCUAAAUAUUGGCGAGAGACCGAUAGCGAACAAGUACCGUGAGGGAAAGAUGAAAAGAACUUUGAAAAGAGAGUUAAACAGUACGUGAAAUUGUCAAAAGGGAAGCGUUUGACACCAGUGUUGUUUUUCUGAAAAUCAAUUAAAGAACUGUUUAUGCUAAGUUGUUUAGACUUUAUCAGCUAACUGUUUAGUUUUGAGCUUUUCUUUAAUGCACUUUUCAGUUAACAAGUCAACAUCAAUUUCUUUUGCUGUAAAAAAGCUUGAGGAAGGUGGCUUGAGAUUCGUCUUAAGUGUUUAUAGCCUCUUGCCUAUGCAGUCGGAGAGAUUGAGGUCCUGCAGCGUAGAUCCUUCGGGGCUAAAUGCAUUUGUGCUAAGUUAUAGCAUUUUAUAGACAACUUGCUGACUAUGAUUUGUCUUGUAGCUUACUCGCUUAUGUUAUUUUACCUACGCUUAGGAUGUUGAUCUACAGAGCGAGAGU